GAUGAACGCUAGCGACAGGCUUAACACAUGCAAGUCGAGGGGUAACAGGGUAGCAAUACCGCUGACGACCGGCGCACGGGUGAGUAACGCGUAUGCAACCUGCCUAUAACUGUGGAAUAGCUCCCUGAAAGGGGAAUUAACACCGCAUAACACUAUUGAUUCGCAUGGAUUGGUAGUUAAAUGUAGCGAUACAGGUUAUAGAUGGGCAUGCGUGACAUUAGCUAGUUGGUGAGGUAACGGCUCACCAAGGCUACGAUGUCUAGGGGUUCUGAGAGGAAGGUCCCCCACACUGGUACUGAGACACGGACCAGACUCCUACGGGAGGCAGCAGUGAGGAAUAUUGGUCAAUGGGCGCAAGCCUGAACCAGCCAUGUCGCGUGCAGGAAGACUGCCCUAUGGGUUGUAAACUGCUUUUAUAGUAGAAGAAACACAUCUACGUGUAGAUGUCUGCCAGUAUACUAUGAAUAAGCAUC
rnacentral:rRNA from 1 species